rnacentral:rRNA from 1 species
GACGAACGCUGGCGGCGUGCUUACCACAUGCAAGUCGAACGGAAAGGCCCUGCUCUUGUGGGGUGCUCGAGUGGCGAACGGGUGAGUAACACGUGAGUAACCUGCCCUUGACUUUGGGAUAACUUCAGGAAACUGGGGCUAAUACCGGAUAGGCGCUCCUGCUGCAUGGUGGGGGUUGGAAAGUUUCGGCGGUUGGGGAUGGACUCGCGGCUUAUCAGCUUGUUGGUGGGGUAGUGGCUUACCAAGGCUUUGACGGGUAGCCGGCCUGAGAGGGUGACCGGCCACAUUGGGACUGAGAUAAGGCACAGACUCCGACGGGAGGCAGCAGUGGGGAAUGUUGCACAAUGGGCGGAAGUCUGAUGCAGCAACGCCGCGUGCGGGAUGACGGCCUUCGGGGUGUAAACCGCUUUCGCCUGUGACGAAGCGUGAGUGACGGUAAUGGUUAAAGAAGCACCGGCUAAGUACGUG